rnacentral:rRNA from 1 species
UACGUAGGGUCCGAGCGUUGUCCGGAAUUAUUGGGCGUAAAGAGCUCGUAGGUGGUUUGUUACGUCUGCUGUGAAAACCUAGGGCUUAACCCUGGGCUUGCAGUGGAUACGGGCAGACUAGAGGUAGGUAGGGGAGAAUGGAAUUCCUGGUGUAGCGGUGAAAUGCGCAGAUAUCAGGAAGAACACCCGUGGCGAAGGCGGCUCUCUGGGACGGUACUGACGCUGAGACGCGAAAGCGUGGGGAGCGAACAGG